GUCUACAGCCAUACCACCCUGAACGCGCCCUAUUCUCGUCUGAUGUCAGAAGCUAAGCAGGGUUGGGCCUGGUUAGUACUUGGAUGGGAGAACAUUGAACCCUUUAGUCC
rfam:Heterocephalus glaber contig221018, whole genome shotgun sequence.